rnacentral:tRNA from 1 species
AAAGGGAGACCUAAUUCGGGUAGGAGACGAAAAAAAAGUAGUCCCUACCAAGAAUCAAUCCCAAAAGGUCGGAGCGAGGCGAAAUUGGCUUUCAAACUAGGUUCUGGGUUCACACAAGACCUGAAUCAGGAACAAGGGCUAUUAGCUCAGGUGGUUAGAGCGCACCCCUGAUAAGGGUGAGGUCCCUGGUUCGAGUCCAGGAUGGCCCACCUGCACAGGUGGCAAAAACAAAAAAGCUCCGAAUCAGCACCUUAUCUUACUUAUAUAGUAAGAGAGAAUGCUGGCUCUGAGUUCAGAGUCCAGAGGAGCCUUGAAAACUGCAUAGAGCUAGGUGAAAAAGCCAAAAAAGAAGACCGCAAG